UCGGAUUAUGAUAUUUUGUAAAACUUUCUUUUGCUUUCGUCGUAAAAGGUACUUAUAUAAGAGCCGACUUUGCUGAUGCCGAGGAAGGCUCUACUGCUGUUUUACAGACCGAUCAUAUGUCAGAAGCUGAUGAUAUCAAAUGUGUCUCGUUCAAAUUCUAUAUAAAUGGAAAUAAAAAUCCAGGAACAUUGAAGGUUACUGUCAAUACCGGAAGUGAAUCUGAAACUGUUGAAGUCAGCAAUGGAGACAAAGGAGACGAAUGGCACAUGUAUAAGUUGUCUGUAACAAAUAAAGUCCGCUUUAUUCAGUUUGUUGCUGUACGAGGCAUCGGUGAUGGUACUAUUGCUAUUGACGAUGUUCUUUUCACAACACAACCUUGCAGUGCUGGCCUAGACAACCUGAAGUACUGUACGUUUGAAGAUCCAGUGCUAUGUGGAAUUGACCCAAUCAAUAAGAGUUGGAAACAAGGAAGAGCUAAUGACUUGUCGGAGUAUAUUCAGUACGAUGCGGACUUGAACAAAGAUGGGCAUUUUUAUUACAUUACUCCAUCAACGCUAUCCGUAGGAGAGGAGGCAUCUAUCCUUUUUGAUGUUGAGACAAACAAAACCGCCCUCCAAUUCUCUUAUAUAUCCACUGGUGGAGGAACAACAAAAUUAUAUACUGAAAUAGAUGGACAAAGGGAAUAUGUGAAUGUACAAAUUGUAAAUUACUGGGUAGAAUCGGAAUGUAUUUCACUUCCGGUCAAAUAUGGCGGGAAAAUAAUGCUAGGAAUAGAAAAUGACGCCAGUGAUGAUACGUUUAUAGCAAUUGAUAAUGUGAGGCUGUUAAACAAGGACAACUGCAUAGAGCCUUCGCUAACAUGUGAUUUUACGUCUGGAAGUACAUGUAAUUACAACUCAUUUGGUAAUAAUUGGAAAUUUUCUAACAUAUUUACAAGUACUCAAUCAGGAAUUAUUCAAGCGCCUGUGGUUUUAGUUGCCAAUGAUACGCAGCAUUGCUUCGGAUUUUCUUACACCGUAACGUCAGUUGAUUCAGUUGAAGCACAACCUAAGCUAGCUUUAUACCGAGAUGCCGUGGAAAUAUGGAGCGGUUAUGGUCACGUGGGAUCCACGAGAAAUUCAGGGCAAGUGACAGUAGAUGGUGGUGUACUCAGUCUACAGAUCUUCAGUGAAGGGACGCGGUUUGUUCGAAAUAUACGAAACGAGAUUUCAGUUCCGGGGCAUGUGUUAGUAUAACCGAUUGUUCGGAAUUUAUAUGCAAGUGACAAGUGUCUUCCAAAUAAUCGAAAAUGUGACAGAGUUGUAGACUGUUUUCUUGGGGAAGAUGAAGAGGCCGAGUUAUGUGGAUUUCAUUUUCAACUUGGAUUUUACAAACGUA
rnacentral:misc_RNA from 1 species